rnacentral:rRNA from 1 species
CAGUAGCCACGGUAAUACGUAGGUGGCAAGCGUUGUCCGGAAUUAUUGGGCGUAAAGGGCUCGCAGGCGGUCUCUUAAGUCUGAUGUGAAAGCCCCCGGCUCAACCGGGGAGGGUCAUUGGAAACUGGGAAACUUGAGUGCAGGAGAGGAGAGUGGAAUUCCACGUGUAGCGGUGAAAUGCGUAGAGAUGUGGAGGAACACCAGUGGCGAAGGCGACUCUCUGGUCUGUAACUGACGCUGAGGAGCGAAAGCGUGGGGAGCGAACAGGAUUAGAUACCCCCGUAGUCCCUGUCUCUUAUAC